AAACCAGCACCUCAAGUGGUCAGGAUGAUUAUUGGGCCUAAAGCAUCCGUAGCCUGCUCUGUAAGUUUUCGGUUAAAUCUGUAUGCUCAACAUACAGGCUGCCGGGAAUACUGCAGAGCUAGGGAGUGGGAGAGGUAGACGGUACUCGGGAGGAAGUGGUAAAAUGCUUUGAUCUCUCGAUGACCACCUGUGGCGAAGGCGGUCUACCAGAACACGUCCGACGGUGAGGGAUGAAAGCUGGGGGAGCAAACCGGAUUAGAAACCCGGGUAGUCC
rnacentral:rRNA from 1 species